rnacentral:rRNA from 1 species
AUGCUACAUCUGCAAGGACCCCGGUCACCCGCCGCCCUCUGCCCGGAUAGGCCGUUCCCCGACAAGCUCCGGAUGUAUGGUCAUGGGAUCGAGGGUCUGGGGUUCUUCCCCAUUGAGGUCCCCGACGUCUCACCCCCCACACCAUCCCUCCAGGCGGUGGUUUCUGUGGUCGACGGUGUAGCCUCUCCCGAGAUGAUCGAGGCGGAGCUCAACCACCUAUAUCGUCGCCAGUGGGACUGGGCGGUCACUCCCAUCUCCGUCUCCGAGUUCUCUGUGGUCUUCCUCGAUGCCGCCAGCCACGGCUACGCCACCCGCAAUGACCAGAUCAUCCUUCCCAUCAACAAGCUCGUGAAGGAAAUAUGCCCUAGAGGCAAUAAUAAAGUUAUUAUUUAUUUCCUUAUUUCAUGA